AAGUGAUUAGUCUAAGAAAAACACUUGAUUUCGGCUCAAGAACUUGUGGUUGAACCCCACAAUUACUUA
rnacentral:tRNA from 1 species